UAUACUAUCUAGCUUACGUGGGGCUUUCGGACUCGUACAAACGUGGGAUUUCAUUUGGCGACAUCGGCCGAACGAUUCGGAGCGUUUUUUUCGUUUCAACUUGUUCAAAAAAGACUUGACCAAGAAUUUAACAAAAAAAUAUGGAAUAUAAGAAAAGUCAAGAAAAGAAAAUUCCAGUGCCAGAGAUACACUCUUUUAUUACAAUAUAGAUAUACUUUGCGAAGUAUAUGCCAUGUAAAUUACUGGCAUGUGAUAUUGUGUUUGCCCCUGAUUUCUGAACCCCUUAUAUAAGACCCUCCCGCCCCGUAUAAAAAUACAUAUAUAUAUAUAUAUAUAAAUGUGACUCAUUUCCCUUCCCCGAACCGGUUCUCCGGAGGAACUGUGCGAGCUUUGGCUGAUCAAGUGGUCUUGGGACUCAGUCGUGGAGCUGCGGUGUGAUAAAAUUGAAGGCAAAAUAAAAACUCAAGUGUGUUGCACCUUUGUAAAUAUGAUGAUGGUGCUCAGCUGAAAGGUAAUCCAAUUAAAAGGACCCAAGCAACCACAGUAGCCUUUAAUUAGCUGGACAUCUUGUUGGUGGAAUGGUUUCGGCAUGUGAAUGGAUGUUUGGAUGGACCUUCCCCUAUUAGUUCGAGCUUUGAGAACACUUUGCAAGCAACUGUUCUCAGUUGCGCAGGAGAAGAGCUAAGCUGUUCCUUAGUUUGGGUAUAAACGACAAUCAAAUCAUCUUUAUGAAACGCGGCAAUAUUAAACUAAUGGUCACUGAAUAUCUAAAAUACAAAUAACACAAAUUUACAAAAAAGUAAAUAAACAUAAACGCAAAUAACCCAUUUUGGAAAUGGACUAGUAACUUCCUUGUGAAUUUUUUUAAUAUGUAGGCUUAGAAAAUCCUUCAGGGCCUUGUAAUAAAGAAUUCCUGCUCAAAAAAACCAUAAA